rnacentral:rRNA from 1 species
AUGCAACAUAUUACAGAAAGGCCCAACAGAAAGAGAAAAUUACAACUCAGGCCGGACAUUUUGCAGAUAGGACCCCAGACAACAAAAAUGAAAAGCAAUCGAGUCCUCUUCGCCGUCUUCGAUCCUGGCCCGAUCCCACCACCACCGGGGACGAAACCACUUGGGGUGAAGGAAUGGCUACAGCACCGUCGGCAAACAACUGGAGGUAGACCAUGGAAAUACCAGGACGAAGAACCUGAUAAACUGCCUCCCAUAUGGCUCGGCGGCCAGGAGGAAAUACAGGAGCCGAACGUCGUCGCCAGAACUCCGAGUGGCCUUUCGACUAGCAGAUACAGCGGCGCAGUGGCGAGAACCUCCUGGUGCUCUCUGCACCAAGAUCCCCAACCAUUUGCUGCAAAACUUGGGCUCCAAGGACACGCAGAGAGGAUAGAGCAGCCAAAUCCCCUUUCUUCCUCUUCUUCCAGUCCACCUCCAUGGCAGCUUGAGGAGAAGUGGGGAAGAAGGAGCUUGAGCUCCAGAUCUGAGAGACCCGCGAGCUUAUUGAGAGGGAUUUCGCCAGAUCCAGUGCCUCCUCCCUUCCUCCACCAUGGAGACGAAGAAGAAGACAAGGACGACAACCACCGGCAGCUGCUCGCAAGCACCGGCGGCAGAAACCCCAACGGCAUAGCGCCAAACCACAAGACGACUUGA